AUUCUUACAUUAACAAAAACAACGGUCAGUGAAACCUUCACUGAUUAGAUGAACCAGAUUCAGCAGAUGGCCCUGGGGCUGCUGGGGCAGAACCCCCUGAUGAUGUAGAUUAUGGUGGUG